rnacentral:rRNA from 1 species
UUGCUCCGCUGACGAGUGGCGAACGGGUGAGUAAUGCGUCGGAACGUGCCGAGUAGUGGGGGAUAACUAUCCGAAAGGAUAGCUAAUACCGCAUACGCUUUGAGAAGGAAAGCAGGGGAUCUUAGGACCUUGCGCUAUUCGAGCGGCCGACGUCUGAUUAGCUAGUUGGUGAGGUAAAGGCUCACCAAGGCAUCGAUCAGUAGCGGGUCUGAGAGGAUGAUCCGCCACACUGGGACUGAGACACGGCCCAGACUCCUACGGGAGGCAGCAGUGGGGAAUUUUGGACAAUGGGCGCAAGCCUGAUCCAGCCAUGCCGCGUGUCUGAAGAAGGCCUUCGGGUUGUAAAGGACUUUUGUCAGGGAGGAAAUCCCUAGCGCUAAUAUCGCUGGGGGAUGACAGUACCUGAAGAAUAAGCACCGGCUAACUACGUGCCAGCAGCCGCGGUAAUACGUAGGGUGCAAGCGUUAAUCGGAAUUACUGGGCGUAAAGCGUGCGCAGGCGGUUUGUGUAAGUCUGAUGUGAAAGCCCCGGGCUUAACCUGGGAACUGCAUUGGAGACUGCACAGCUAGAGUGCGUCAGAGGGGGGUAGAAUUCCGCGUGUAGCAGUGAAAUGCGUAGAGAUGCGGAGGAAUACCGAUGGCGAAGGCAGCCCCCUGGAUGACACUGACGCUCAUGCACGAAAGCGUGGGGGAGCAAACAGGAUUAGAUACCCCUGGUAGUCCACGCCCUAAACGAUGUCAAACUAGCUGUUGGGGGUUUGAAUC